AAGUGGCAGUGUGGGCAUACAGAAUUACAACUACAAAUUCCGUAGUACCCUAUCUUAACGUGAUUUAUGCGUUUCACAUUUUCGAACCAUAGCCCAGUCAGAUAAAGUAAACCUGUGAGCUUUAGUAUUGUAUGUUUAAUAUUAAUGUGUGGUAACUUAUCAUCGUAGUGUUAUCGAUCAUGCGAUUAAAAAAAUACACUUUAGACUACAUAUCCCAAGGGGUAAAGCCCUCUUUAUCACCGUAUCCAGGAAGUCAUUUGCCGUUGCCAAGCAAACUUGUGCGUGUCUUUGCAAAUGUUCUCUGAAGAAUGUGCACUUCACACGUUUACGAAUGUAGCUAGCUAUCUAAGGUGUCCGUGAGCGAUGAGUUGUUCCCAGGACUCUGUACCUUUGGCGCGGCCGGGCACAGAGAAGGUACUGGUGACUUAGCUGAGUGGGUCUGGUCAUAUGAACCCAACCCCUGCUGCUUACAAGGACUCUGACAUGCUGGUGGAGCUCUACCUCUCUACAGAAAAGCUGAGACCUGGGAACCACGCUGUCUCACCUUCAGGUGCUGUGGAUAUCUCACUGCAGCCUGGCAGACCUGGAUGGUGUCCCCUACUCCUCUCUCAAGGAGCUGUAUGUGGCCUACAACAGAGUGUCGGACCUGAGUCAGGUGAGCAUGCUGGAGAAUCUACAGCUGUUGGACCUGGAAGGGAAUGAUGUGGAUGACCUGGUGCAGGUGCAGUACCCGGGCCUGUGCUCCCAACUCCGCACGCUCACCGUAGAGGGAAACCCUGUCUGUAUGCACCCCCAACCUAAUGCCACACAUGUAUUUGCACACACUCCUACACUCCUAACCCUCACCACAACCACAAUCGUGUAUAUUAUUGUAUACCUUACUGAAUCUGGAUUUUAGAUACUCAAGAUGCGUGCAUAUAUGUGUGUGUGUGUGUGUGUGUGUGUGUGUGUCCAGGCAUGGGGGUUGUGAGUGUUUGAGUCUGGUAAUGAGAUUAUCCAGAAUGACUGUGCUACCAUGGCUCUGCAUGCUGGGCUCAGGCUGUGAGUCAUACUCUCCCCAAUGUCCCCCAUAUGGGCCCAGAUGAUAUUGUCUGCAUCAGGCAGAACAGGGUGGGACUGGAGAGCAGGGGAUAGGGAAUUGGUGUCCAGAGCAAAGCAGGCUUUGCUUCUGUAAGUAGGGAUGGUACAAGCUGUGGUGAUGGUUAGUAUAAACAUUGCUCAACUAGGCAGGGUGGAAAAUAUACUCUCUUUAGCACAGGUGUUGAUAUGGGAAUGAGCCCAUAUUAAAGUGGUGUAUUAAGGUUUCACUAUAAUGACGUGAUGCAGUGUUGAAGUGGUAUGAAUGGAUGAGUGAAUGUGUUUAUUUUUUACCCACCCAACCAGCAGCAGGAAUUAGGAAACUGGGGCAGCGAGGGAGGGAACGCUGUCCUGAAUAUGCAUUAGGCUUGGUCCAAACACAGAGAGGGGUCCUUGGGUUUUCUUUUUUUUCUUUCUAGACUCUGGUUGUCUAUACCCUUGGUGGAGCACAGAAAGUGCAGCUCUCGCUCUCUCUUUCUUCUCUCUCCUCCCCCUCAGUCUCGCCUCUCUCUUGUCUCUUUCCCUCUCUCUCCCCCCUCUCUCUCUGUUGGUUGGUGAAGGGUGAGAGUACUCCGCUCUAAUUUGAUCUCUUAGCAGCAGCAUAGUGCUUUUACUGGUCUCUCUCCCUCCUCGCUCUCCUCUCAGUGCUGAUAAAGGACCAGAACACAGUACAAAGUGCAGAUUAUUGCCAUUAUUAGCACUCAGAACCAUGUUCUUUGUCUCCUCCUUUGAACAGAAGUUACACUCAUUGUAGCUUAAAGCUCUUCUAACAGGGCUAUGUUCUUUUACAGUAUGUUAUUCUGGUGUUAAGGGGUGUGUUUGGCGUUGAAAGGAUAACUUUGAAAGGUUGGACAUUCCUUGGCCUUAAUCAACCAUUAUAAUCACAACCAAAGCACAACCUUGGACCCUUUAUACAGUCACCUAUCAUAUUUGUAUCACCUAACAUACUGAAUCGACUAUGUAGUUCAGAGGUAGGCAAGUCUGCUCCUCCAGGGCUGCACUGGAUGCAUUUAUUCAAGCCCUGUUUUAACACACCUAGCCUAAUUCAACAUGUCAUCUGCUUAUAUGGACCUCGAUUAGUUGAAUGAGGUGUGUAAGUGCUGGGCUGGAACAAAAGCCUGCACAUACUGCAGCCCUCCAGGACUAGAUUUUCCCUACCCCCCAUGUAGUACUCGUUGACUGGGCUGGUCUUGUGCAACUGAAAGUAGUUGGAGUGGAUCUGUUAGUGUCUCUUUUUUUAUGUGCGGGUUCUCUUCCUUCAAGGUACCCUCUCGUGUUUCUUCAUCCUGUCUUCUUCUCUUUUCCCUAGUCCGAGGAGGAGGAGAGUUACUGCUACCGAGGAGAAAGCAGCCAGAUAGGUGCUGGGUCUGGAGUAGGCACUCAAUCUGGCCAGCGCCUAGCUCAUAGCCUCUCCAGUUCCUGUCCAUCCAGUCGACCGGUCAGUGCCAGGCCUCUCUCAGCAGUUGACUCCAGACCCCUUUCUGGGUCGUGACCCUUAUCAGGGGCUGGGUCCAGAGCCCUCUCUCCUUCCGGGUCCAGAUCCGGUUCUGCUGAUGCAGGUCCAGCCUCUGUGGACCCAGACGCUAGCGUUCUGACGCACGGUGCAGGGAAGAUCUUGUUCUGUGGGAACGCUGUCCAGGCCCUCAGAGCCAGGCGACAGAAGAUGAGGCUAUGGAGAGGGAUGGCCUCAGAUACUGACCAUCCUCCACAGUGAUGACGAGAAGGAUGAUGAAGGAAGUUUCAGCAUUUUCAGUGGCGAGGAGGUGGGUGGAAAAAGAGACGGGUCGAGUCACUGGGCAAACACUGGCUCGCCAGACUUACCUUUCCAGUCCCCCUCUUCAGAUGUGUUUCAGAUAAAAGCCAAAUCCCUUGAGGUGGCCUGUAUCUCCCUGUCCUCUGAAUCCACUCUGACGCCCUCUCCCCCUCAAAACGCCACAUCAGACCCUGGUGGCCGGAGGAUGUCAGAGCUGCGAGCACGCAGACUGAGGCUUAGUGGUGGGGUGGCUGAGGCCAGGGCUGGGACUGCUGUAAAGCCUACUGACGACCACACAGAGCUAGGGCCAAUUAGAGGAGACCCAGGCUUGAGGAACCAAGGGCUCCAGGAGUCUGUGAGGCCCAAAGUCUCUUUGCUUCCCCAGGCUACUCACCCCCUGCCACACAGGCCAGCCUCCAGACCCCUAGUCCAAGGGCUCAGGUCACCGACAGGCGGAGCUUCUGUGCAGUCCAGCAACGGGCAUCAACCAAUCACCUCGCGGAGACCACCAGAGAGGACGGCCAUCAUGUUUAGGGAAGAGGACCCUAGGGGCUGGAUUACAUCCAACAAUCACCUGAAGAGUGGAACAUAGGAAGUUCACACUUUGAUUCGAUAGAUUCUUUGUCAGUGUUUUGACUCCCUCUGCUGGACAGUUAAAGAAUCACUUACAUCCCACUUUUCUUUCCCAGCUCAGAAUUGUACAGUACUGACACUGAUCUCACAGUGCCUUUACUGAGGACAACAGCCCUUGUAGGGGGGGGGCACAUUCCCAAAAUUGCAUUUUUGUAGCCCACUGUUUUAUCAUUAGAAUGUGAUACAAAACAAGGCAACAGUGUGCUUAAGGACCAUGUGGACACCUCCGAACGGUCGGAUAGGCUGUUUGGAGUGUUUAUCCGACUGGAUUAAAAAAAGUAAUAAUAAUGUCCCCCCAACUUCUAAAACCGAAGUUGUGCCCAGGAUCAUAGCAAAAGUAAUGAAGACGUCACAUGGAGUUUCCUAAAUGAAAUAGUGUAUGUGCAUAUAAUCAGACUGAGUGCUGUAGGCUAGUGCUAACACUACUGGAGCUUUUUCAGAAUAUUUGGGAAAAGUUAGUUGGCCAGUGUUCCUGCUUAGAGAAAUACCUUUGAGCUGCUGGAUCAGGACCAGUGCUAUUGUGAAGCUUACAAUGGAAAGGUCAGGACCAGAGAGAGGAAAACUGAUCCUAAAUCAGUUCCUAAGGGUAGAAUGUAAUUUAAGUUCUGUUUGUUUUGACUGGAGAAACUCUGUGACACCCUCCUCUUCAUGUGGCGUCCCAUGUCGACAAUAGGUGAACAAUUUUAAUCAAGCUGACAUAUUUGAGCAAGCCCAAUCCUGUUCCGGGAGCCCGGGAAUCCAUACACACAUACACACACUCACACCGCAAACUGAGGGCCUGAUUCCAGUCCACAUGUCUGUCAGUUAUGCUUCACUGCUGUCUCAGGCAACAGGACACAAAUAAAGGAGCAAUAGAAUAACAAAACAUUGUCUGUCAUCACAACCACAGACUACUGUUUGAUUACUUACUACCAUAGAAGACUUGUGUGGGAUUAAUGGAUACACAGAAACACAUAAAAUACCAUACGAAGGUGCGUGUUUCAACCAUGAGACUGUCCUUACAUAACAAGAAGAAGCUGUUGAUUUGACUUGCCUGAAUAACCUGAUGCAUUUUGCUGCCUCCUGUCUGAGCCCAUCUGUGCAGCCGUUUCCCAACACGCACCUGUGCUCUCACCAGCCAUGUCUCACAUGAUCUGUAUAGCUGGCACCCUGUUGGGCCUUCUCAACUGCAAUGCCUACUUACUGCUCAUCUCAUUUAACCAAAGAAUUUAAUUCUCUGAGGUUAACACUCUUGGCAAAGGGCAAUCAUCCACACUGCCUGCUAGUGAUGAGAGAGAAAGAGUGAGAGAGGAAGAUCAAUGCAGCAGACAGCUGGAGAGGGAAGCUCAGACAGGGGUCCAGGAAGUUGGCUCAUUUAACAAGUUUAUAAUUUGACUGUGGAAAGGCAGACUCCCAGCUGGUGGUGACUGACUGGAAUCUGGAUUGUAGAGAGCUUGGCCCUGCUCACCAGUCAUUAGUCUGUAACCAACCAGGUGCACUGUAAAUGUAGCCCGCAGGUUGUAUACCUACUCUCCCACCAUUACGCCACACACUGAAGUCUACCAGCGUUAUCAUAAAAUGAGAAAAUACCUUCACCACUAUACAAGGCUGCUAUUUGUAACCAGCUGACCACAACAUAAAGAUGACAGACCACAUAGUAAAGGGCCUGGUAACAGACUAUAAGUCAGGGUGUGGGUACAUUGGUUGGACCCUUCUGCCCCUGGGUUACUGUGAAUGGAACACUAUCAUUACAACCUUGUUGUUGGGAGAUGAUUGACACUGUUGGUAUGACAGCAGGUGGGAGGAAGAUGCUUUUUCUCUGUUAUCAAAUUAAAAAGACAAUUAUACCACCACACCACUCCUCCCCAAAUCUGCCUCUUGAUUCCCAAGAGAUAGCUUUCAACAGAACAUUGAUGCUCUUUAGAGGGUGGAGGAAGGGUGUUUCGGCUCAAGUCAAAUUAAAAAAAGUAAACGGUACUAAUUAUAAUGUCACCUGUUUACCAGACAUCUGAAACGCAAACAAAAUGCCAAGUGGAUGGAUGUUUAUCGUAUCAUUCAAAAAUGUAGAUUCUUUCUUAGAAGUAAACGAUCUUAUAGGAGUCUCUGAGAGGAGAUGGGACACCCCAUUCCUAGCUUCAGUGGACAUGCGGCAUGCAAAGAAUGGUAUGUGGAUGAAGGUCAUGUUUAGGCAAAUAAACUAUA